rnacentral:rRNA from 1 species
UACGGAGGGUGCAAGCGUUAUCCGGAUUUACUGGGCUUAAAGGGUGCGCAGGCGGAUAUGUAAGUCAGUGGUGAAAUCUCCGGGCUUAACCCGGAAACUGCCGUUGAUACUAUAUAUCUUGAAUGCUGUGGAGGUAAGCAGAAUAUGUCAUGUAGCGGUGAAAUGCGUAGAGAUGACAUAGAAUACCUAUUGCGAAGGCAGCUUACUACGCAGAUAUUGACGCUCAUGCACGAAAGCGUGGGGAUCAAACAGG